UUUGCCCGGCCGGAGAGAGAAAGGGGGGGGCGAACUCUCCUGCAGUGAUGCCUGAGCCUGCAGCCAUGUGGGGUGGAGGCAAAGCAUGAGGGUUGUGGGAGGAAGAUGAAGGGACUGUCUCGUCUCGGGGGACUUACCUGCCUAGUCGAGGGUCCAACCUGGCUGUGAGCGAAGCCUCACCGAAAUGGAGGAAGACUCUUUUCCCAUGUUUUCCCUUGGAUGGAAGCAUGCUCUGCUCCCCAGGAAACGAUAGCCUUGAAGUAUGAUCAUGGAAAAGGGAAUAAGCUCAGUAGAAGUUCCUCCUAUGUCAGCUCAUGCCACUGCAGUAAGGAUGAUGGUAAAAGAACAUGAAGGCAAACCGGCUCAAAAAGUGAGACGAGUGGGAUUUGUACUUGUACAUGCAGGUGCAGGUUAUCAUUCUGAAUCCAAAGCCAAAGAAUAUAAACACGUGUGCAAAAGAGCAUGUCGGAAGGCAAUUGAAAAGCUACAGGCUGGAGCUCUUGUAACAGAUGCAGUGACUGCAGCGCUAGUUGAACUAGAGGAUUCACCCUUUACAAAUGCAGGAAUGGGAUCUAAUCUAAACCUCUUAGGUGAAAUUGAAUGCGAUGCCAGUAUUAUGGAUGGAAAAUCACUAAAUUUUGGAGCAGUGGGAGCUCUCAGUGGAAUCAAAAAUCCUGUCUCCGUGGCAAAUAAAUUAUUAUGUGAAGGGCAGAAGGGAAAACUAUCUGCUGGCAGAAUUCCACCUUGCUUCUUAGUUGCUGAGGGAGCCUUCAGAUGGGCAGUGGAUCAUGGAAUAUCAGCCUGUCCUCCAGGCGUCAUGGCAACAAGACUUAGCUUAGCGGCUUUUAAAAGGAACAAGAGGAAAUUAGAGCUGGCUGAAAAAGUAGAAACAAAUCUUUUUCAGCUGAAGAAAAGACGACAAACAAGUGAAAAGGAAAAUGAAUCAGAAACAUUGGACACUGUUGGAGCAGUUGUUAUUGAUCAAGAAGGAAAUGUUGCUGCUGCCGUGUCCAGUGGAGGCUUAGCUUUGAAACAUCCUGGGAGAGUUGGUCAGGCAGCUCUUUAUGGAUGUGGUUGCUGGGCUGAAAAUAUGGGAUUUCAGAAUCCUUACUCUACAGCUGUGAGUACCUCAGGUUGUGGAGAGCAUCUUGUACGGACAUUACUGGCCAGAGAAUGUUCAUGUGCUUUGCAGAAUGAAGAUGCUCAUCAAGCUCUGCUAGAAACUAUGCAAAACAAGUUUAUUAGUUCACCUUUUUUAGCCAAUGAAGAUGGUGUUCUGGGAGGAGUGAUAGUUCUCCGCUCUUGUAGGUGUUCUGCAGAGCCCAACUCUUCACAGGAUAAACAAUCUCUAUUAGUAGAGUUCCUGUGGAGUCAUACAACAGAAAGCAUGUGUGUGGGAUAUAUGUCAGCACAGGAUGGCAAAGCUAAGGUAGUCCUCAACUUAUGACCGCAAUUGAGUCGAAAAUUUCUGUUGGUAAGCAAGAUAAUUCUUAAAUCAACAAAUAAGAUGCUCUUGGAAAAGGUAGAAUUCUGUGAUCUUGGAAGGUGUGAAAACUUAGUAAUAACAAGGAAGGUUCAACUUACACUAUACUAUUUUAAAAACCUUGAACAAAAACACAAAACUCACAUUUCAAGGCUUCCACAUGGUGCCGUGGCAGGACAGUCGGUAGCAAUUGAAGGAGGAGUUUGUCGACUGGAAAGCCCAGUGAACUGAACCACUAUGUAAUGGGUCAGCACAAAUGCUAUUUGUAUAAUAAGAUCCUUUGUGUUUUAAGAGAGAGUGAGAUUUCUAUUAUUUUAUAUACUUUUAUUGCAACCACAUGCACCCUAACUUGAAACAAGUGCUGCUGUAGCUUUAGAUUCUAAAAUUUUGUUUGAAUGUAUAUGGGAACACAUCUCCCAGGAGAAAAGAAAUUCGGUUCUCACUUGCGUGAAAUAUUUUAACGUUAGAAAAGAUUUUAUUAGUUACUUGAUCAGUCUGUAAGACAAUGACAUCCUGAAAUUGCCAGAAAGAAAUGGUUUUUAAAAACAGAAGGUAUGCUGAUCACAGAUGUUAUAUUGAGAACAUACAGGGUGGGUUGAAAUAAACAAGUGUCUGAAUGUAGUCAAUACUCUUUGAUAGUCUCAGGAUGGUUCUAUGAUUGCUUAAGCAUACCCUGAAUUUCCAAUGGGAUAUAAUAAUUUCUUUCUAGCAAAGAGGGAUUGAUUCCAGUGAAACAGUCUAGGACAGGGUUACAGCCAGACUUUAUGUUCAGUUAUUCAGUUGUGGUACUUAUUUUGGCUUAAAUGUUAUAUAGCUUAAAGCGUUUAUGUAUUAUGAAAGGCUCUGUAAAGAUAACGUACGGUCAUGAAGUCUUUACUUUGUGUAUAACUGCAUAUUGGGAUGUACAGAAGAACAACAUUUAUUGAAAGAGUUAGUACUAUUCUUUGGUUUAAAUAUAUUUUGAGAGAAUAAUAUAGAAAUAAACUAUUACUGGACAAUGCAAAAUGUAUUAAAGUGGUGAUGUAGAGGAACCUAAUUCUAGCUUUCUUCUGUUCCUUAAAUUCCAAAGUUAAAGUAAAUGGGUAUGCAUGUGUGCAAUUAAAUUUACAUGUAAUGUAAGUGGUGUUACAAGUGGCCUUUUAAAUGAUUUUAUGCAGCCAGAAUCUAUGAAUGGUACAUAUUUUCUUAUACUGUAUGUUGUAAAUAUGUUUAGAUUUUUUUUGACAAUUGUUCAGGUUUCUUUCGAUAUGUACUUGGGUGUAAUGGCUGUAAGACAAUCCCUAAAAAAAAAAAAAAAGUCUAGCAAAUGAGCUAUUUGAAUAGUACCAGGAGAUGAUAUAAGCAUUCUUUAGAAGUCCUUGCUCAACAACCUGCAAAUUAUUCUUAAACAUCUGCACUAUACUUGUCUUCUCUAACUGAAGCAUCAUCAAACAAUUUAAUAUUGUAAUUAGAAGAAAAUACUGUUUACAACUGUUUCUAAUUUCAUGAAAAAGAUGAACUCAUGUCAAGUCAUCUUAUUUGUUGAUUUCUGUUUUUUUUUUUUAAGCAAUACAAUUCACUAAGAUUUCUAGUCAUUUCCAAAGAGGCACAGAUGGCUGUAAACUGUCACCACAAAUAACUGUCCUGAGAUAUAAUAUGUCCAUAAAUUCAACGUUUUAUCACUAGACUCAUUUGAAAGUGUACAUUGCAGCUGUGCCACUCAUUCUUUCAAUCAUUCAUGCCUCAGAGGAAGUAGUUAUUUAUCGUUUGAGAAAGCCAGUUUUUUUUGAGGGUGGGGAAGAUUGAUCCUCUAUUGGAUAUAUUGUAAUAUUGAUCAAAAAUAAAGUAUCUACUUUAACACACCCUUAGAAAUAUGUAGAUGGCAGACAGGGAGAGAAUUAUAUGUUAUGCUACUUAAUGUACUAUGCACAUAGUUUGGAUUUUCCUAAUAGUAGUCCUUACCUCCAGACCAAAAACUAUGAUUCAUAUUGCUCGAUUCUUGCAUUGUGACUUUAUCCCUUGUCUAGCAACAUUAUAUGAAGACAACUCACCAUAGGAAACCUGAUCCAACCACAGACUCUUACACUGAUGAUAAUAUUUCUACUCUGAUAAUAGCAAAUAAUUUUUUUUUAUUCAGUAUUGUAAAAAUAUUGAAAAUGUACAUGUUGAUACUAGGAUGGUAUAGUCAUCUGUUUUCAGCACUUUGAUAUGUAUGUCAUUAAAUUACACUUCAAGGUAGAUAAUCUGAUGUAUCACGUAAAUAGCUAUGAAAAAUGAAUGGAUGCGUAUCAGAAAAAGUUACCAACUGUAGGUGGUAGGAUCCUAUCCCCCUCUGCUCAUUAGUAAACAGAUUAUUCAGCAUUGAACUAAAAUAUUUGGUCUAGAAACAUUUGAAAAAAAAUGAAAUCUUAUAAAGGUUGUAAAAGUUCAAUUUCUGUUAAUGAAGAAAUGCAACUAGUAAUUUUAAACCCUCCUUCAGAGUGAAUUUAGGUAAGGUAAGCCUAAAGAAUAGGCCUGGUGCUGUGAUACAUAGAACUUCAACCAGAACAUUAAUAAAUGCUAGCUUUGUUUUCUUAAAUUAAAAGGGUCCAGGGAUUGGGAAAUGGGAUAACUUACCACAGCCAAAUCACCAUGGACAAAUCACUGUUGGACAAAUCACUGCAGGACAAUGUAACAAUAUUGUUUAAUUAUUUAAAAUAAAUAAAAAAAUUAGUUUAUGCCAUUCACAUUUCAUUCUGUCCCUCCUUUUGCAUCCUUUCUUUAUUCUAUUCUAUUCCUGUUCUGUUCUGUUCUGUUCUGUUCUGUUCUGUUCUGUUCUAUUCUAUUCUAUUCUAUUCCACAAUUUCUUUGAUAUUAGAUUAACUCUUGUCCUGUAGCGAGUUGGCCUGUGGCGAGUUGGCCAUGGUGAAUUGUCAUAGACCCCCCCAGGAAUUGUUUUUUAAUUUUAAGAACAAGAUAGAAAUAUCAAAGAUGAAUGAAUUUCAACAGAAGGGAACUAGAUAGUCUCUAAUAGCAUGUCAUUUUUUUACUCUAAACAAAUAAUAUGUAAUUCAAUGAAAAAUUAUACAUGAAAAUUUAAAUGCUAAUGAAUGACAAUAUGUGAAGUUGCAUGUAAAUUACACAUUGUAAACUGUUGAUCUAGGUUAAUCAAACAAUUACAUUGGUAGAAGCAGUGGACAGGUUGGAGCUGUCAUGUUCUAUUACUUUUUUUUAACAAGAAUAUAAUCUGAUAUUUCAUCUACAGUAAAAUGUAUGUGAACAUUAAAAGAAAAUAAUAUGGAAUUCUAAGGAAAUCUCAUGGAAUGUAUAUUAAAGUUUUUAAAAUGUAAA